rnacentral:rRNA from 1 species
ACGCUCGACACCUACGGGAGGCGGCAGUAGGGAAUCUUCCACAAUGGGCGCAAGCCUGAUGGAGCAACACCGCGUGAGUGAAGAAGGGUUUCGGCUCGUAAAGCUCUGUUGUUGGAGAAGAACGUGCGUGAGAGUAACUGUUCACGCAGUGACGGUAUCCAACCAGAAAGUCACGGCUAACUACGUGCCAGAAGCCGCGGUAAUCUGAGCGGGCUGGCAAGGC